AUCGAGAUGGCGCAGCGGAUUUAGCGUGCCCCCCCGGGGCCCAUACCCCCGGUCCCCAGGAUCGAAACCUGGUCUCGAUA
rnacentral:tRNA from 1 species